UACAGAGGGGGCAAGCGUUGUUCGGAAUUAUUGGGCGUAAAGGGCGCGUAGGCGGCCAUGCGUGUCUUCCGUGAAAUCCCUCGGCUUAACUGAGGACGUGCGGAAGAAACUGCAAGGCUCGAGUCCGGGAGAGGGGGGUGGAAUUCCCAGUGUAGCGGUGAAAUGCGUAGAUAUUGGGAGGAACACCGGUGGCGAAGGCGGCCCCCUGGACCGGUACUGACGCUGAGGAGCGAAAGCCAGGGGAGCAAACGGG
rnacentral:rRNA from 1 species